UGGCGGGAAUUGCCUCUUCUAAUGUCCUUGGCCUAACCAUACUAUUUGGACUCUUAAUCACGUGACUGGUGGUUGCACGUGUGAAAACUUUUUUUUCUUAAAAAGGUUUUUCUUUUGUUUUAUUUAAUUUUUUUCUUUUUGAAGAGGAGAAACCUCUUACGAGGCCUAGCUUUGGCCUGGCAAAUGCGAAGGUCUUUGGGGCCUUUCACGUGUGCUUGUAUCUGAUUCUGAUUAUUAAUAUAAUAAUCCAAAUAUAUAUUUCUUUCAAAAAUUUAUUUCUUUCUUUUCUUUAUGUGAAUGGCACGUGAUUGAUAAUAGAUACUUUGUAGCUUAGCGAUUUGUUUUAUUACUGUAUCAAAUAACUCUUAAGGAGUUGUGGAAUUUAGCGAGGCCAGUGGCCAGCGCAGUGAAGGCCCUAGCAAAAAAUUGAAGAGACUGCUCAGUCCCUCAAGUAAUAAAGGGGGUUUCAUUCUUGAAUACGACUGCUUGCACCUUAUUAUUUUG
rnacentral:misc_RNA from 1 species